rnacentral:rRNA from 1 species
UACGGGGGGGGCAAGCGUUGUUCGGAAUUACUGGGCGUAAAGGGCGCGUAGGCGGUGCUCUAAGUCGGAUGUGAAAACUCUGGGCUCAACCCAGAGCCUGCAUCCGAAACUGGGGUGCUAGAGUUCUGGAGGGGAUAGCGGAAUUCCUGGUGUAGCGGUGAAAUGCGUAGAUAUCACUAGGAACGCCGGUGGCGAAAGCGCUCGACUGGACCUCUUCUGACGCUGAGGCGCGAAAGCCAGGGGAGCAAACGGG